GAUGAACGCUGGCGGCGUGCCUAAUACAUGCAAGUCGAGCGAACGGACGAGAAGCUUGCUUCUCUGAUGUUAGCGGCGGACUGGUGAGUAACACGUGGAUAACCUACCUAUAAGACUGGGAUAACUUCGGGAAACCGGAGCUAAUACCGGAUAAUAUUUUGAACCGCAUUGUUCAAAAGUGAAAGACGGUCUUGCUGUCACUUAUAGAUGGAUCCGCGCUGCAUUAGCUAGUUGGUAAGGUAACGGCUUACCAAGGCAACGAUGCAUAGCCGACCUGAGAGGGUGUUCGGCCACACUGGAACUGAGACACGGUCCAGACUCCUACGGGAGGCAGCAGUAGGGAAUCUUCCGCAAAGGGCGAAAGCCUGACGGAGCAACGCCGCGUGAGUGAUGAAGGUCUUCGGAUCGUAAAACUCUGUUAUUAGGGAAGAACAUAUGUGUAAGUAACUGUGCACAUCUUGACGGUACCUAAUCAGAAAGCCACGGCUAACUACGUG
rnacentral:rRNA from 1 species